rnacentral:rRNA from 1 species
UACGGGGGGGGCAAGCGUUGUUCGGAAUUACUGGGCGUAAAGGGCUCGUAGGCGGCCAACUAAGUCAGACGUGAAAUCCCUCGGCUUAACCGGGGAACUGCGUCUGAUACUGGUUGGCUUGAAUCCGGGAGAGGGAUGUGGAAUUCCAGGUGUAGCGGUGAAAUGCGUAGAUAUCAGGAGGAACACCGAUUGCGAAGGCAGCUCGCUGGGACGUAACUGACGCUGAGACGCGAAAGCGUGGGGAGCAAACAGG